rnacentral:rRNA from 1 species
GACGAACGCUGGCGGCGUGCUUAACACAUGCAAGUCGAACGGAAAGGCCCUGCUUUUGUGGGGUGCUCGAGUGGCGAACGGGUGAGUAACACGUGAGUGACCUGCCCUUGUCUGUGGGAUAACUUCAGGAAACUGGGACUAUUACCGGAUAUGAGCUCCUGCUGCAUGGGGGGGGUUGGAAAGAUGCGGCGGCUGGGGAUGGACUCGCGGCUUAUCAUCUUGUUGGUGGGGUGGUGGAUUACAAAGGCUUUGACGGGUAGCCGGCCUGAGAGGGUGACCGGACACAUUGGGACACGGGUAGGGGCAAGACGGCAACGGGGGGCAGCAGUGGAAAACAUUGCAAGCUGGGCGGAAGCAUGAUGCAGCAACGCCGCGUGCGGGAUGACGGCCUUCGGGGUGUAAACCGCUUUAGCCUGUGACGAAGAGUGAGUGACGGUAAUGGGUAAAGAAGCACCGGCUAACUACGUG